rnacentral:rRNA from 1 species
GCAUUAUCAUAGCGAGGAAAAGAAAUACAUGAUUCCCCUUAGUAACGGCGAGUGAAGAGGGAAAAGCUCAAAGUUGGAACCUGGUGGGCAUAGCUCACCCGGAUUGUAAACUAAAGUUUUUGAGUCGUUUAGUCAGCCAGGUAAAUAAGUCCUCUGGAAAGGGGCGACAUAGAGGGUGAAAUCCCCGUCUUUGGCCUGAGUUUUGAUUAGGCGUUUGGCUUGGAAACGAAGAGUCAGGUUGUUUGGGAAUGCAGCCUAAAAUGGGAGGUAAAUCUCUCCUAAAGCUAAAUAUUGACGAAAGACCGAUAGCGAACAAGUACCGUGAGGGAAAGAUGAAAAGCACUUUGAAAAGAGGGUCAAAAAGUACGUGAAAUUGCUGAAAGGGAACCGUAUGAAAUCAGACUUACUGGUAGGUAAUCAAUCUUUCCCUUGGGAAGGAUGCACUUGCCUGCUAUGUACGCCAGCGACAUUUUGGUUGUGGAGGAAAAAAAUAGUUGGAAUGUAGCCUGGGUUUCGGCUUAGGUGUUAUAGACUACUAUAAAAUACUCUCGGCUAGAAUGAGGAACGCAGCAAACCGUAAGGCGAAGAUUUUAGGCGCUUGGGGGGAAUCAUUAGAGAAUUUCUGCUUCGGGUGGUGCUUUAGUGAUUUCGUUCAACUCGUUUGAAUUUCUUUUUAUUUGCUUAGGUUGUUGGCUUAAUGAUUUUAUAUGACCCGUCUUGAAACACGGACCAAGGAGUCCACCAUAUGCGCGAGUCUUUGGGUGUAGAAACCCAUGGGCGGAAGGAAAUUGACUAAGAUACCAAGGCUUUAGCUGGCAGUAUCCCCCGGCAUAGACGUUUUAUACUGAAAUGACUGAGGGCAAGCGCUUAUGAUGGGACCCGAAAGAUGGUGAACUAUACUUGAAUAGGGUAAAGCCAGAGGAAACUUCUGGUGGAAGCUCGCAGCGAUUCUGACGUGCAAAUCGAUCGUCAAAUUUGAGUAUAGGGGCGAAAAGACUAAUCGAAACCAUCUAGUAGCUGGGUUCCCUGCCGA